rnacentral:misc_RNA from 1 species
CUAUUUCACAUGAAAUAAUAAUAACAACAAUAAUUAUUUUCAAAGUAACUAUGAUCUUGUCUAUCAUGCAUAACAAAUUUAAGAGCUAUCGCCUAUCAGAUGCGAAAAGGCCACAUAAUAGUGCCAAAGUUUUCCAUGUGAACCAAGUAAUAUUAACAGCAAAAUACAUCAACGUAAAUCACCUAUUAAUAAACUCUGUACCUUAAUU